GCCUCCGUAGCAUAGUGGCAAUGCGUUCGCUUCGUAAGCGAAAUAUCCAGGGUUCAAUCCCCUGCGUGGGCU
rfam:Cryptosporidium ubiquitum isolate 39726 contig_20, whole genome shotgun sequence.